AGUGCUAGGGGUGCCAUUGGCUGAGAGGUUUCAACCGACCCUUAUUACCUGAUCUGGUUAGUACCAGCGUAGGAAAGCAACAAUAA
rnacentral:ncRNA from 1 species